rnacentral:rRNA from 13 species
GUGCUAAGGUAGCAUAAUCAUUUGCUACUUAAUUGGUAGCUGGGAUGAAAGGUUAAACUAGUUUACUCAGUUUGUUGUGUUUUGUAAGAAAUUAAAGUCGAGGUAAGAAUUCUUUGAUCUGCUAGGGGACGAUAAGACCCUAGAAGCUUAACAAUAAGAGUAUUUAUUAGUUAUAAAAAUUAAUUUGUUUUACUGGGGCGGUAAAGGUAUAUAAACUAUUAGUGUAUUGAUAGAUCCUUAAAAUAAAGAUAAAACGGGAAAGUUACUCUAGGGGUAACAGUGCAAUAUUUUUGGAGAGAUCAUAUCGAUAAAAAUGUUUGCAACCUCGAUGUUGAAUUAAGAUGUCUACGUGAAGCAGCAGGUACGUGAGAAGGUUUGUUCAACCUUUAAAUUUUUACAUGAUCUGAGUUCAAACCG